GGCAUUAGUGGCGCACGGGUGAGUAACACGUGGCUGACCUACCUCAAAGUAAGGGAUAACGGUCCGAAAGGGCUGCUAAUACCUUAUAAGCUUCCGGGAUUUAGAACCCUGGGAGAAAAGUUCCGGCGCUUUGAGAGGGGGCUGCGAGCCAUCAGCUAGUUGGUGCGGUAACGGCGUACCAAGGCGACGACGGCUAGGGGGCCUGAGAGGGUGACCCCCCACACUGGAACUGAGACACGGUCCAGACUCCUACGGGAGGCAGCAGUGAGGAAUAUUGCACAAUGGGCGCAAGCCUGAUGCAGCGACGCCGCGUGAGUGAUGAAGGCCUUCGGGUCGUAAAGCUCUUUUCUAGGUGACGAGAACGGACGGUAGCCUAGGAAUAAGUGUCGGCUAACUACGUGCCAGCAGCCGCGGUAAAACGUAGGACACAAGCGUUAUCCGGAGUUACUGGGCGUAAAGGGCGUGUAGGCGGAUCGGUAAGUCUGCUCUGAAAGCUCCUGGCUAAACUGGGAGAGGCGAGCGGAGACUGUCGGUCUAGAGUGAGGAAGAGGAAAGUGGAAUUCCGCGUGUAGUGGUGAAAUGCGUAGAGAUGCGGAGGAACACCAGUGGCGAAAGCGGCUUUCUGGUCCUUAACUGACGCUGAGGCGCGAAAGCAUGGGGAGCGAACGGGAUUAGAAACCCCGGUAGUCCAUGCCGUAAACGAUGUUCACUAAACGUUCGUUUCCCGCGAGGGAAGCGGGUGUUGAAGCCAACGCAGUAAGUGAACCGCCUGGGGAGUACGGUCGCAAGGCUAAAACUCAAAGGAAUUGACGGGGGACCGCACAAGCAGCGGAGCGUGUGGUUUAAUUCGAG
rnacentral:rRNA from 1 species